CUUUAGCUAGACAACAGAAAUAUCAGUCGACAUUGAACGGUAUCUUAAAUCCAUUGUUUUAUUGAUCAAUAUUUUCAAUGUUUACUGUUAUGUUCGUUAUAAUGUAUUAUAUCUGACUGUAAAGACACGAAGUAUUUAUUUUCUCGAUUGUCCUUCACGAAGUACCUGCGUACAGAUGACGUUCGUCCUGAAGAGGAACUCUCUAGCUUUUGUCUCGAUAACAGCUCUGCUUCACCAUCGAAAUGUUUACAGUUAGGACGGACAGCACUCCCGCGGAGUUGCGUGGGCUGCAUCAGUGAAACAGACUAUAAUUUAUCAAUUUAUCGGCCCACACAUCUUCAAGUGGCGAAGCCGCUGCCUAGGAAAUGGGCCGCCAUUUUGACGCUACUGCACGCGCGUUGCUGGCGUAGAGUGCGUUCAGCUGUGAGUGCGCCCUUGUGCAGGAUAGCCGUUCGCGCUGAAUAUAGAGUGUGGAGAUCUUCAUCGUGCGUACUUGGUACUGAACGUGUCUAAGACAUGCUAAGCAGGAGUGUGCUGCGGCAGCAAGUCGAAGAUGGAAGGCCAUGGACAACAAAGUAGCCCAGUGAAUAUUGUUACUCGGACAGAACAUGCUUGCUCAUGAUAGGUGACUGAUGAGCAGAUAUUUUCUCCAGAGAGUUGAAAAAUGGGCAACACUUCGUCGUCUGUGGUGGCCUCCACUGUGAAAAAUCAAGGUGAUGUCGGGGCCAGAGAGCUGUACCGCUUGGUGGGUCUUGGCGACAAUGGAGAGCUGGUCAGACUGACCAAGCUGGCCCGCUGGACCAAAAACUACAGCCAGCUUGACCAGGCCAUACAGAAGGAAGUUCCACAGUUUCUGUACAAUGAUGGUGAAGGCAGGAAGGUGCCAAUCGCGGAACUGGUCAAGAUACGCAACAAGGAUCGAGAAACCAGCAUGAAAAUCAGCAAAGAUCGACAGAAGAAAGCGAAUGAACUGGCACUGAUCGAUAUGCUAACACAGCAGGAUGCAGAGGCAGGAGGGUAUCAGCACAGCAAACCAGCUGAAAGAAUGUACAGAGAAGUUUGCUGGGACCUCGACAAGCGAGGAACUGUAGGGGAGACAAUUCUUCAUCUUUGUCUGCUAAAUGCCACUCAGAUUCAUGCUGAUUUAGCCAAGCGUUUACUUCAGUUUUACCCAAAACUCAUCAAUGAUAUUUAUGUUGGUGAAGAAUACUAUGGGGAAACGAUACUUCACAUUGCCAUUGUUAAUGAGGACCCAGCCAUGGUAAAGUUUCUCCUCGACAAUGGAGCUGACGUUCAUGCCAGAGCUUGCGGAAACUUUUUUUGCCCUGAUGACCAGAAAGAUUCCCGAACAGACAGCUUGGAUCACGAGUGGGUGUCCGUAUGUGAAAAUACCAAUUAUGAAGGUUUUGUCUACUGGGGAGAGUAUCCUCUAAGCUUUGCUGCAUGUCUUGGGCAAGAGGAAUGUGUACGCCUUAUGCUUGCUAAAGGAGCUGAUCCAAGUCUACAAGACACAAAUGGAAACACUGUAUUGCAUUUGCUUGUCAUCCAUGAUAAGAAAAAAGAUGGACCAUCAGAAGAGCAGCACAUGUUUGAUCUGAUUCUUAGUCAUGGCGGAAGACUUGACAUCAAGAAUCGACAAGGGCUAACGCCUUUAACUUUGGCUGCAAAACUAGCUCGCAAAGAAAUGUAUGAGCACAUCCUGGAAAAAGAGAGGCAGGUUUACUGGAUUUAUGGAAAUGUGACCUGCGCAGGUUAUCCCCUCACCCACAUUGAUACCAUCUCGCCUACAGGGGAGAUCAACACAGACUCAGCGUUGAAUAUUAUUGUUUAUGGAGGAGACGAAAGUCAUCUGGACAUGAUGGAUGGAUUGAUAGUUAAUUUGCUGAUGGACAAGUGGAAAACAUUUGCUCGUUUCAGAUUCUACAGACGCUUUGUGGCAUUUGUCGUGUACUUUGUCAUGUUUGUGAUUGCCUUUGCUUUGCGGCCUGCUCAUGAUCCCUGUGAAAGCAAAAAUGAAACAGAAAGCAUGAGUACCUGUUCCCAAGAAGACAGUGAGAACAGCACAUUGAAUCCAUGCUACUUGCUUCAGCCUUACAGAGAUGAAGACAUUGCACGACUAGUGUUGGAGGCAUGUGUUCUGCUGGGUGCAGUUGUGUAUCUGUUCCUUGCCAUGAAGGAGAUCCAUCACCAAGGCUUCCACAUCUUUUUUUGCACCUUGAGUGGAGCCCCUGGAAAAGCACUUCUGUUGUUGUCCUGUGUGUUUGUGGUGAUGAUGUUGCCAGGACGAGCAUUCUGUGCUCAUGUUUAUGAAGAUGUGAUGGGUGUUUUGGCCAUUUUGACAACAGCACCCUACUUUCUUUUCUUCUGCAGAGGCUUCCGCAUGGUAGGUCCAUCUGUGUACAUGAUCUACAAGAUGGUGAAAGGUGACUUGCUGAGGUUCUUCAUCAUCUAUGUUGUAAUUGUGAUUGGAUUUUCUCAAGAUUAUGUUUGUGGUAUACAUGAUAAUGGCUACCCUUUUACUGAUCAACAUGUUAAUUGCUAUGAUGGGCAACACCUACGAGCUUGUCACAAACACACAGAAAGAAUGGUUCCGACAGUGGGCAAGAAUCGUGCUGAUGAUGGAACUGAGUGUAACACCCUCUCAUCGACUACAGCAGCAAAUGAAGUAUUCACAACCCAUGGAUGGUAACAAGCGAGCUUUUGUUGUCCGUUGGCACCAGACGGAUGCAGAGAAAGAAGAACUUGUGAAAGUCCGUCUACAGAACAAGAUUCAACAGCGUUUCAUGGCACAGAAGAAAAAUACCUUGCGUAUAUUGAACAAGACCCAGCGUAAAAUCAAGGCAGCAACCAUGAUGCUCAAGCCAU
rnacentral:misc_RNA from 1 species